rnacentral:rRNA from 1 species
GAUGAACGCUGGCGGCGUGCCUAAUACAUGCAAGUCGAGCGAACGGACGAGAAGCUUGCUUUUCUGAUGUUAGCGGCGGACGGGUGAGUAACACGUGGAUAACCUACCUAUAAGACUGGGAUAACUUCGGGAAACCGGAGCUAAUACCGGAUAAUAUUUUGAACCGCAUGGUUCAAAAGUGAAAGACGGUCUUGCUGUCACUUAUAGAUGGAUCCGCGCUGCAUUAGCUAGUUGGUAAGGUAACGGCUUACCAAGGCAACGAUGCAUAGCCGACCUGAGAGGGUGAUCGGCCACACUGGAACUGAGACACGGUCCAGACUCCUACGGGAGGCAGCAGUAGGGAAUCUUCCGCAAUGGGCGAAAGCCUGACGGAGCAACGCCGCGUGAGUGAUGAAGGUCUUCGGAUCGUAAAACUCUGUUAUUAGGGAAGAACAUAUGUGUGAGUAACUGUGCACAUCUUGACGGUACCUAAUCAGAAAGCCACGGCUAACUACGU